rnacentral:rRNA from 1 species
ACGAACGCUGGCGGCGUGCUUAACACAUGCCAGUCGCACGGAAAGGCCCUGCUUUUGUGGGGUGCUCGAGUGGCGAACGGGUGAGUAACACGUGAGUAACCUGCCCUUGACUUUGGGAUAACUUCAGGAAACUGGGGCUAAUACCGGAUAGGAGCUCCUGCUGCAUGGUGGGGGUUGGAAAGUUUCGGCGGUUGGGGAUGGACUCGCGGCUUAUCAGCUUGUUGGUGGGGUAGUGGCUUACCAAGGCUUUGACGGGUAGCCGGCCUGAGAGGGUGAUCGGCCACAUUGGGACUGAGAUACGGCCCAGACUCCUACGGGAGGCAGCAGUGGGGAAUACUGCACAAUGGGCGGAAGCCUGAUGCAGCAACGCCGCGUGCGGGAUGACGGCCUUCGGGUUGUAAACCGCUUUCGCCUGUGACGAAGCGUGAGUGACGGUAAUGGGUAAAGAAGCACCGGCUAACUACGUG